UACGUAGGGUGCGAGCGUUGUCCGGAAUUAUUGGGCGUAAAGGGCUCGUAGGCGGUUUGUCGCGUCUGCCGUGAAAGUCCGGGGCUCAACUCCGGAUCUGCGGUGGGUACGGGCAGACUAGAGUGAUGUAGGGGAGACUGGAAUUCCUGGUGUAGCGGUGAAAUGCGCAGAUAUCAGGAGGAACACCGAUGGCGAAGGCAGGUCUCUGGGCAUUAACUGACGCUGAGGAGCGAAAGCGUGGGGAGCGAACAGG
rnacentral:rRNA from 1 species